rnacentral:lncRNA from 1 species
UCAAGAUAAAUAUUUUUACAAAUCAAAAUUAAUUAAUUGAAAAAAUCAACUAAUUGAUUAACACCUGUGGGCGGGUGUUUGAGAAGUACCCCCCUGAGGGUGAAGAACUUGGCAUCUGACUGCGCUAUGACUCUGGGAGGGGCACCCACAACAUGCACGGGGAAUACCAAGACCUGACCACCAGGGGCGCUGUCACCCAGUGCUACCCAGACAGGGGCUCUCCACAUCAUGUCCCGCCCACCCAUUUAGAUCAUGAAGGUGGAGGAGAUUGUCCCCAGCAAGUGCCACCGGCCCACAGUGAAGCAGUUCCACGACUCCAAGAACAAGUUCCCGCUGCCCCACUGGGUCCUGCGUUGUCAAUGCAAGUGGUACUUCACCACCAAGAGACCCAACACCUUCUUCU